AUUGAACGCUGGCGGAAUGCUUUACACAUGCAAGUCGAACGGCAGCACGGACUUCGGUCUGGUGGCGAGUGGCGAACGGGUGAGUAAUGUAUCGGAACGUGCCCAGUCGUGGGGGAUAACGUAGGGAAAAUUACGCUAAUACCGCAUACGAUCUACGGAUGAAAGCGGGGGAUUGCAAGACCUCGCGCGCUUGGAGCGGCCGAUAUCAGAUUAGGUAGUUGGUGGGGUAAAGGCCCACCAAGCCAACGAUCUGUAGCUGGUCUGAGAGGACGACCAGCCACACUGGAACUGAGACACGGUCCAGACUCCUACGGGAGGCAGCAGUGGGGAAUUUUGGACAAUGGGCGAAAGCCUGAUCCAGCCAUUCCGCGUGCAGGAUGAAGGCCCUCGGGUUGUAAACUGCUUUUGUACAGAACGAAAAGGUUUCUACUAAUACUAGGAGCUCAUGACGGUACUGUAAGAAUAAGCACCGGCUAACUACGUGCCAGCAGCCGCGGUAA
rnacentral:rRNA from 1 species